UCCGGUUGAUCCUGCCGGAGGCCAUUGCUAUUGGAGUUCGACUUAGCCAUGCUAGUCGUACGAGUUCAGACUCGUGGCGAAUAGCUCAGUAACACGUGGUCAAACUACCCUGUGGACCGGGAUAACCUCGGGAAACUGAGGCUAAUCCCAGAUAGGGCUCCCAGCCUGGAAUGGCGGGAGCUUGAAAUGCUCCGGCGCCACAGGAUGUGACUGCGGCCGAUUAGGUAGACGGUGGGGUAACUGCCCACCGUGCCGAUAAUCGGUACAGGUCAUGAGAGUGAGAGCCUGGAGACGGGAUCUGAGACAAGAUCCCGGGCCCUACGGGGCGCAGCAGGCGCGAAACCUUUACAAUGCACGCAAGUGCGAUAAGGGAACUCCAAGUGCGAGGGCAUACAGUCCUCGCUUUUCUGCACUGUAUAGGAGGUGCAAGAAUAAGGGACUGGGUCA
rnacentral:rRNA from 1 species